rnacentral:lncRNA from 11 species
GGAUUAACCACCAGUGGGGUCAAGGAAAGUGUUGUAUAGAGGCCCCUCACCAUGGCAGUAUGACAACACCCAAAAUAAAGAGUUUUUACAUGCUGGCAGCUGUGUUGGUAGAUACAGGUUCACCUUGUCCAGAUAGGAGAUCAACAGAAACUACAAGCCCCAAACAAUGUGAUCCUGAAGUAUAACACCAAACUAGCAGUAAUUAAGAUGGGA